rnacentral:rRNA from 1 species
UGGGGAAUAUUGCACAAUGGGGGAAACCCUGAUGCAGCGACGCCGCGUGAAGGAAGAAGUAUUUCGGUAUGUAAACUUCUAUCAGCAGGGAAGAAGAUGACGGUACCUGACUAAGAAGCACCGGCUAAAUACGUGCCAGCAGCCGCGGUAAUACGUAUGGUGCAAGCGUUAUCCGGAUUUACUGGGUGUAAAGGGAGCGUAGACGGAGAGGCAAGUCUGAAGUGAAAGCCCGGGGCUCAACCCCGGGACUGCUUUGGAAACUGCAGUUCUAGAGUGCCGGAGAGGUAAGCGGAAUUCCUAGUGUAGCGGUGAAAUGCGUAGAUAUUAGGAGGAACACCAGUGGCGAAGGCGGCUUACUGGACGGUGACUGACGUUGAGGCUCGAAAGCGUGGGGAGCAAACA